AAUGAACGCUGGCGGCAGGCCUAACACAUGCAAGUCGAACGGAUCCUUCGGGAUUAGUGGCGGACGGGUGAGUAACGCGUGGGAACGUGCCCUUUGGUUCGGAAUAGCCUCGGGAAACUGGGAGUAAUACCGGAUAAGCCCUUCGGGGGAAAGAUUUAUCGUCAAAGGAUCGGCCCGCGUUGGAUUAGGUAGUUGGUGGGGUAAUGGCCUACCAAGCCGACGAUCCAUAGCUGGUUUGAGAGGAUGAUCAGCCACACUGGGACUGAGACACGGCCCAGACUCCUACGGGAGGCAGCAGUGGGGAAUCUUAGACAAUGGGGGAAACCCUGAUCUAGCCAUGCCGCGUGAUCGAUGAAGGCCUUAGGGUUGUAAAGAUCUUUCAGUUGGGAAGAUAAUGACGGUACCAACAGAAGAAGCCCCGGCUAACUCCGUGCCAGCAGCCGCAGUAAGAC
rnacentral:rRNA from 1 species